UGAGAAUAUCUGGUAGCCCUUUUAUUAUUAUUUAUGAAUUCAUCUGAAAGGAGUAUUGACCUCUAAUUAAAGCCAGAAAAUUACUCCUGGAACAAAUUGCUAAAGGCCAGAAGAAAAAGGCACUAACACAGGAAAGUGAAAGGCACUCGAUGAGGGCUGUGUGUGUCAGCAAGAAAGGUUGUCACAGAUCAUGUGCAGCCCUUCAGGGGACUGAUGCCGCCAAGGGUACCUUCCCAGGUGUGCGCAUGAGAGGACCAGGCAGCCCAGCCAAGCAGGAAGAGCCCACCCCCAGGUCAGCAGUGAAGCCCAGUGGGUUAAGAACCUAAGCCUCUCAGGAGGCCCUGUGGGACGAUACACAGCAGAUACUUGAUGGAGAAACUGCUACCCAGAGAGCAAGAGCAGUGGUAAGAACUCUGGUUUCCACACCUCCUUCCCAACAUCCAUUCCUAACCACCGUUGGUCAUAGAGAAAGACAAGGAUUAGGCCCAGUGUUGAACCUUACUUGUAUAUGAAAAUUAGUUUUCUCACUGACUUGGCUUAAAAAUGGAAUGAUGAAAAAAAAAUCACAUAUUG